UGCAAGUCGAGCGGUAGAGAGGUGCUUGCACCUCUUGAGAGCGGCGGACGGGUGAGUAAUGCCUAGGAAUCUGCCUGGUAGUGGGGGAUAACGCUCGGAAACGGACGCUAAUACCGCAUACGUCCUACGGGAGAAAGCAGGGGACCUUCGGGCCUUGCGCUAUCAGAUGAGCCUAGGUCGGAUUAGCUAGUUGGUGAGGUAAUGGCUCACCAAGGCGACGAUCCGUAACUGGUCUGAGAGGAUGAUCAGUCACACUGGAACUGAGACACGGUCCAGACUCCUACGGGAGGCAGCAGUGGGGAAUAUUGGACAAUGGGC
rnacentral:rRNA from 1 species